rnacentral:rRNA from 1 species
UACUGUAGGUGAACCUGCAGUAGGAUCAUUAUUGAAAAAUAGGGCUUUCCCAUUCUUUGGGGCCCGAACCUUCACAUAAUUUCCACACACUUGUGAAUCGUUGGAGCGUUUUUUGAAAAAGAGACGCUCUGGCACCCUUUAAUUAUUACAAACACCGAGUUAAUGGAUGUAGUUGUAAACUUGUCUUUUGACAGAAACAAAAAUACAACUUUCGACAACGGAUCUCUUGGUUCUCCCAUCGAUGAAGAACGCAGCGAAACGCGAUAGUUAAUGUGAAUUGCAGAAUUCAGUGAAUCAUCGAGUCUUUGAACGCAUCUUGCGCUCCUUGGUAUUCCGAGGAGCAUGCCUGUUUGAGUGUCAUGAAUCCCUCAGCCCCCAUCGUUUUUUGUUAAGCGAUUGGCUUGGGUCUGGAUUUGGGCGUCUUGCCAAUGCGCUUCUUCAAGUGCUUGGCUCGCCUUAAAGAGAUUAGCUGGACCCUAUUCCGAGCUGGUUCAACUCGACGUGAUAAUUUCAUUCGUCGAGGUAUGGUCGGCCUUACGGCUGAUCAGCCAGGUGUAGGAAUCCGGUCUGCUUCCAACCUUCGUCUGAAGCCAGCAAUGGUGUGAAGCGGAAUUUUUUAAUGCUCUGGCCUCAAAUCAGGUAGGAUUACCCGCUGAACUUAAGCAUAUCAAUAAGCGGAGGAAAAGAAACUAACAAGGAUUCCCCUAGUAACGGCGAGUGAAGCGGGAAGAGCUCAAAUUUGAAAGCUGGCGUCUUCGACGUCCGCAUUGUAAUCUCGAGAAGUGUUUUCCGUGUUGGACCAUGUACAAGUUCCUUGGAACAGGACGUCAUAGAGGGUGAGAAUCCCGUACUUGACAUGGAUGCCCAAUGCUUUGUGAUACGCUCUCCACGAGUCGAGUUGUUUGGGAAUGCAGCUCAAAAUGGGUGGUAAAUUCCAUCUAAAGCUAAAUAUUGGGGGAGAGACCGAUAGCGAACAAGUACCGUGAGGGAAAGAUGAAAAGCACUUUGGAAAGAGAGUUAAACAGUACGUGAAAUUGUCGAAAGGGAAGCGCUUGAAGUCAGACAUGCUGCUGAAACUCAGCCUUGGUUUUCCUUGGGGGUAUUUCUCAGUUGGCAGGCCAGCAUCAGUUUUGGCUGUUGGAAAAGGG